CCCACCUAGGAGGAGAGAAGACAGUUACUCAGAUUUCUGGUCAUCCUCAGGCUGUGAAAGAUCCCUGACCCAACUUCCUCUCACAGCUGUUCUGAAACAUCUAAAUCAUCUUCCAUUCUGUUAUAGCGUGAGCUAGGAAAGCCACUAAAAAAGGUUAAUAAACAGUGAAUUCUUUAUGUUUCAAUUUGUGUUCUACUUAAUCCUUUUAGUGGGGGAAAAUGAAAAGCUUUCUAUAGAUACGAGCACCUCUUAUGUCCAUGAUUCCUUUUUACACUGUCAGGUUAAUAUUUAUAUUCCAUUCUGUAGUCAAAACAAUCUUAUCUAUAGGUCGAGUCUGGAAAAUCAUUACAUUAUUUUGACCACAAAUACCAUUCCUACAGAGCUUAGCUCCCGCACAAGUCUGAAGCCAUAACCUUUGUGUCACCUGAUGAAGAAAACGUAUCCCAAAUGAUGUAGGCUCUUACGGUGGUUUUAAAAUAUGUCCACGAUGGUCCCUUCACAAAAGGGGGAGUCUAAUUCCCCUCCCCUUGAAUGUGGGCCAGGCUUAGUGACUCAUAAGAAACAGAGUGCGGGGGAAGUGAUGCUGUAUGACUUUCACACUUAACCAUAAAAAAUGAGAGCUGUUGCCGCUAGGUCCGUCUCUCUGGCUCUCUUGCCCUGGAGGCAGCCAGCCGCCAUACCGGAGAUCACCCAACAGCCUCUGGAGAAGCCCUAAGGUGAGGACCUGGGGCAUCCUGCCAACCACGACACAUUUGCCAGGUCAGACUUACUGGAAGAACAAGACCUCUCAGUGUGAUUUCUCCAGUCAUGGCUACAUCUGAACGCACCAGCCGCCCACUAAAAAGCGAGGCGAGACAGGUUACUAUGGUAACUCCAGCAGAUGGUCCAUCUUUUGUGACAGCACCAGCUGGGAAGUGCAGAUGGAUGUCUGUGUUGUCAAGAAGAUCAAAACUUCCAGAAGCUUAAAAAAGGAAAUAAGGAUUUUAAUGUAGAAAAAAUUAAACCUGUUUUCUUUUUCUCCUAAAAAAGAGAAUAAAAAAGAUAAAAAUGUUUUGGGUAAA